rnacentral:rRNA from 1 species
GACGAACGCUGGCGGCGUGCUUAACACAUGCGAGUCGAACGGAAAGGCCCUGCUUUUGUGGGGUGCUCGAGUGGCGAACGGGUGAGUAACACGUGAGUAACCUGCCCUUGACUUUGGGAUAACUUCAGGAAACUGGGGCUAAUACCGGAUAGGAGCUCCUGCUGCAUGGUGGGGGUUGGAAAGUUUCGGCGGUUGGGGAUGGACUCGCGGCUUAUCAGCUUGUGGGUGGGGUAGUGGCUUACCAAGGCUUUGACGGGUAGCCGGCCUGGGAGGGUGACCGGCCACAUUGGGACUGAGAUACGGCCCAGACUCCUACGGGAGGCAGCAGUGGGGAAUAUUGCACAAUGGGCGGAAGCCUGAUGCAGCAACGCCGCGUGCGGGAUGACGGCCUUCGGGUUGUAAACCGCUUUCGCCUGUGACGAAGCGUGAGUGACGGUAAUGGGUAAAGAAGCACCGGCUAACUACGUG